rnacentral:rRNA from 1 species
UACGGGGGGAGCAAGCGUUGUUCGGAUUUACUGGGCGUAAAGGCGCGUAGGCGGCCAGCACAAGUCAGUUGUGAAAUCUCCGAGCUUAACUCGGAACGGUCAACUGAUACUGUGCGGCUAGAGUGCAGAAGGGGCAACUGGAAUUCUUGGUGUAGCGGUGAAAUGACGUAGAUAUCAAGAGGAACACCUGCGGCGAAGGCGGGUUGCUGGGGCUGACAC